UCCCCUGUGGUCCAGUGGUCAGGACUUGAGCACUCUCACUGCCAAGGGCCUAGGUUUAAUUCCUGGUAGGGGAA